CAUUAUUCCUGUCCACAGUGGUAAGUAACUUGCAAGUCUUAUAAUGUGUGGCACAAUCUCAGGGAGGAAAUGAAUGUUAUCCCUAUCCCCAUUGGCUGCAGCAUGUGUCCUGCUCUCCUCACAAAUGUUUGACACCCAGUCUCGUAGGUCAGUCUGGAUGUCAUUACAUGGAUCCACUUGAUGAACUUCCUUUGUGUCUUCAUCUGGAAUUAUGAUGGAGUCUUCUGCAAUCUGGGUUUUCAGGCAGUCCCACUGGCAGACCAUCUUUAUGCAGUGGGCAACAUCAACCCUGAUAUAACAGGGAGGAAGUUUUGCAGACUGGUUCCCAAGUAGCACAUGGAAGCAUUCAUCAAUGUAUGAUUUCAGGUUAGGACAAGGAGUGAAGGCCUUCACCAGAGCACCAAGAAUAGCCAGGGAAAAGUCACUCACAGCUUCUUUUGAACACCUUGGUAUAAGAAGAUGUGGCCAGAUGUACCAUUUGGUCUUGCCAGUUUUCUGACAACUGAACCAGUUGCAUCAAAGCAAACUACUGAGGGACAUUUUUUGGUUGCCAGGUUUGGAAGGUGACUUGGCUCGGGAUCUCCAAUAUCCAUCAACUCUGAUGCCUUUGCUGACCUCCAUACAGAUGGUUCCAUCCUGCCUUCACACAACUCUUCUGAAA